ensembl:snoRNA K08F11.8 ncRNA
GUUUCUCUAUCGUGAUUUUUCUGAAUUUGGGUCUGAGGGUGUCGAUUUUUCAAUUUUUCACUGAAAUCUAAUGAUUCAGAUUUUUCAAAAAAAUAUCUUAACAUUUUUUGGACGAAUACAUAUGU